AAAUAACAGGUAACAACACUAAAGCCAGACUACACCAGCUUUUCACGACCGUAGAGGAAGACAAACAGGGAGUAGUUGGUUGUUGUUAGCUAGCCACUGUUUUGGACAAUUCGGAAUGAAGUCAUCUUCCUUCCUUCGUCGUCCUGUAUUUCAAAGCCCUUCUACUGGCACCAUCUAUUGGAGAUUGGAAUGUGUCUCUAUAGUGCCUGGAUGCAGGUUGGGAGCAUGUCUCCUGUCGGACAGGACCUGGGUCCUGGUUGGGGCACAAAUCAGCCAAUCGUCCAGGCUGGACUAUAGAGGGAGAACACAAGGUCCCUUAUGUGACUCCGUCUGGACCUGAACUCUUGAAGAACAGUAGUUCUGAGAUUCCCAAGUACACCUCUCCAAAUUGG
ensembl:lncRNA